UACGGAGGGUGCUAGCGUUGUUCGGAAUCACUGGGCGUAAAGCGCGUGUAGGCGGUAUGGCAAGUCGGAUGUGAAAUCCCUCGGCUUAACCAAGGAAGUGCAUCCGAAACUGCUGUACUUGAGUACGAAAGAGGAUCGCGGAAUUCCCGGUGUAGAGGUGAAAUUCGUAGAUAUCGGGAGGAACACCAGUGGCGAAGGCGGCGAUCUGGGUCGAUACUGACGCUGAGGUGCGAAAGCGUGGGGAGCAAACAGG
rnacentral:rRNA from 1 species